rnacentral:rRNA from 1 species
GAUGAACGCUGGCGGCGUGCCUAACACAUGCAAGUCGAACGGAGUUACUUUGGUGAAGUUUUCGGAUGGAUCUGAUUUAACUAGUGGCGGACGGGUGAGUAAUGCGUGAGCAACCUGCCCUUCAGAGGGGGACAACAGUUGGAAACGACUGCUAAUACCGCAUAAGCCCACGGCUCGGCAUCGAGCAGAGGGAAAAGGAGCAAUCCGCUUUGAGAUGGCCUCGCGUCCGAUUAGCUAGUUGGUGAGGUAAUGGCCCACCAAGGCGACGAUCGGUAGCCGGACUGAGUGGUUGAACGGCCACAUUGGGACUGAGACACGGCCCAGACUCCUACGGGAGGCAGCAGUGGGGAAUAUUGCACAAUGGGGGAAACCCUGAUGCAGCGACGCCGCGUGGAGGAAGAAGGUCUUCGGAUUGUAAACUCCUGUUGUUGAGGAAGAUAAUGACGGUACUCAACAAGGAAGUGACGGCUAACUACGUG